rnacentral:rRNA from 1 species
CUAGUAAUCGCGGAUCAGAAUGCCGCGGUGAAUACGUUCCCGGGUCUUGUACACACCGCCCGUCACACCAUGGGAGUCGGAAAUGCCCGAAGCCAGUGACCCAACUGAAAGGAGGGAGCUGUCGAAGGCAGGUCUGAUAACUGGGGUGAAGUCGUAACAAGGUAAC